CUUAUACUACUUACAUGUAUCAAAACUGCACAGAAGAUGUGUAAAAGAAUUUUAAAAUACAACGAAACCAACGAUUCCAGACUAUAUACAUACUGUAGCACUCGGAGAAGAAAGCAAUACUGAACCGACAAGAGUUCCUUCAGGCUGUCCUGCUGUGGUCCCUAUUGACCCAUAGAACGGACAUCGCUACCCUGGUCUGGCGGAGGGUGGCUAAUCAGCUGUAUACAGGACUCGUCAGUGCAUUGAUUCUCCAGGAGAUGUCCUCCAUAGCCGCACUGAAGGACGAGGAGUUAGCGGUGCAGCUGACUGAACAUUCAAAGUAAUUU